rnacentral:rRNA from 1 species
CACAUGCAAGUCGACGGUAACAGGAAGCAGCUUGCUGCUUCGCUGACGAGUGGCGGACGGGAGARWAAUGUCUGGGAAACUGCCUGAUGGAGGGGGAUAACUACUGGAAACGGUAGCUAAUACCGCAUAACGUCGCAAGACCAAAGAGGGGGACCUUCGGGCCUCUUGCCAUCGGAUGUGCCCAGAUGGGAUUAGCUAGUAGGUGGGGUAACGGCUCACCUAGGCGACGAUCCCUAGCUGGUCUGAGAGGAUGACCAGCCACACUGGAACUGAGACACGGUCCAGACUCCUACGGGAGGCAGCAGUGGGGAAUAUUGCACARUGGGCGCAAGCCUGAUGCAGCCAUGCCGCGUGUAUGAARAAGGCCUUCGGGUUGUAAAGUACUUUCAGCGGGGAGGAAGGYGWUGAGGUUAAUAACCUYRKCRAUUGACGUUACCCGCARAARAAGCACCGGCUAACUCCGUGCCAGCAGCCGCGGUAAUACGGAGGGUGCAAGCGUUAAUCGGAAUUACUGGGCGUAAAGCGCACGCAGGCGGUCUGUCAAGUCRGAUGUGAAAUCCCCGGGCUCAA